AAAACAUAGGUCACGGCAAUGGCGGCAUUGAAGGGCACCUUGACCACCAGCAGGAAGGCAAUGGACAGCUGCUCGGCCAGCACAAAACUAGACCAAAGCGCCACCAGCAAGAAUAGUGUUAACCUUACGGAUAGACGACGCAGCUGGCGAGCGCCGCAGACGCUAUAGAGAACGGUAUGGAAACGGCAUUGUAAGCCACGAGUAAAGUGGUGCCCGAAUAGAGACCUUCUGGAGUGUCCUGUGAGAACUUCUUGCGCCAAAUGGGAACUAUAAUAAGAAAAGCUAUAAAAUCAAGUGAAAGAUAUUGAAUGAGCAGAGAACUUACAUAGUGAUAUGGUGGUUAAGAUGCCACAACCAUAGGACAGUCCCAGUAUAUUCAAUAUCAGGCCAUUCUUAGUGAAGAAACCGCUGGGAGUAUCCUAAAUGGAAAACAUAUAAAAUUACAUGAUAUAGUUGGAAGAAUCAAUUGAAUACUUACGCCCACAUUGGUGUAAAAGCCCCACAUCAAGCUCAUAGCUAAAGGUAAUAGCAACAUACGCAGGAAAAGCGUCUUCAUGCCCACCACCCCACAGGAGAAUGUGGAAGCCAACAGUUUGCUAAAGAAAUAGAGCAUGGACCAGACUUUGAGCUCGCCUGGUUUGCCAUAGGCCAGCGGUACUUUGCCAGUUCCCAUGUUGUUCAACGGCGCAUCCGA